AUACGUAGGGUGCAAGCGUUGUCCGGAUUUAUUGGGCGUAAAGGGCUCGUAGGCGGUCUGUCACGUCGGAUGUGAAAACUCGGAGCUCAACUCCGGGCCUGCAUCCGAUACGGGCAGACUAGAGUUCGGUAGGGGAGAUUGGAAUUCCUGGUGUAGCGGUGGAAUGCGCAGAUAUCAGGAGGAACACCGAUGGCGAAGGCAGAUCUCUGGGCCGAUACUGACGCUGAGGAGCGAAAGCGUGGGGAGCAAACAGGAUUAGAUACCCGGGUAGUCC
rnacentral:rRNA from 1 species